rnacentral:lncRNA from 1 species
CUGAAACAUGUUAUUUGAUAUAUAUGUUAGUUUACACGUGUUUUAUAGAAAAAUAAGAGGAUUUACCAAAUGUAUAUGAAGGUAAAGAUAUGAAAUUUAAGCAAAAGCCAGAAAAUAUCAGAGAUCUUACCACUGAAAUUGAAAACUUUAGACAUGGGAACUGUGUGAAAAACCAAGGAAAGUCAAAUUUGAAACUUGGAAGCCCAACCCUCUGAAGAGCAAAAAUGACCAGAUCAAGCAAGAAGAAGACAAUCCAGCAAGAUUAGAACAAGAAAAGAAUGCAUAAAAAAAAAAAAAAAUCAAAAGUAAGAAAUCAUUUGGGAACCCUAUCCUGGUCACUGACUACCGUCCCGUUGGAGUUAGAGCCGCUUGGAGGUUGGACGAGGAGAGCAAUCGCAGGAAAAAAAAUCAGAGGGGAAGAACGAAUGGAAAAUACCCUUUUCCUUUUACCUCACAAAAAAAGAAAAAAAAAAUUCAAGGCCAAAAUGAGGCCCCCUCGAAUUUUGUGCCUGAGGCGUGGGCCUCAUUGGCCUCACCACAAGACCGGCUCUGCAUUUCAUUUGUAUGUUAUAUUUACUUGCUAUUUUUUCCUCUUUUUCUUCAUCACGUGAAUUGUUGUGAUUUGAUUUUCCAAUUCUUCUGAUUUACCUAGUACAUUUCUAUAGGAAUAAAUAGAAAAGAAGAACAUAAAUAUAAUUUAUCAGAUGAAAACCAAGCAAUUGAAUUUAUGCAACUCUAUCUUCAAUGAACAUCUUUGGCUAAAAUUUCAAUUUUUCCUUCAAUCCAUUCUACAUUUUGGUAUAUCGUUCUGUUUUUGCCAAGUUCUUUAACACAUGGAUGCUUGUAAAUUACCUUUACGAUGUGCAGUUUCUAUACAGUCAUUAUCUGCAUAGAACUUGACCAGAGCAGUGCCAACGUACACAUCCAUCUCAAAGCCUAAAUCUUUAAUCAAGCCAUGUAUUGUCCUUAACUUAACAGAACACAAGCCUUAAUUACAUAAGGAAAAGUAUACUUGUCAGGCCAAGAACCAAAAUCCAACAUCUUAAAAUAAAAUAAAAUUGCAAAUUCAAAAUAAUCUGUCACGGUAAAAUAUCUAAUCAUCCAAUUCCAAGGAGCAGCAUAGCAUAAAUUAAGCUGAUAAAAUAAUUCCUUGGCAUCAAAAUACUUGUUACACAAAACGUACAUACCCAAAGUUCUCGUGCCUAGAAUGCCCACUUUCUAGAGUCCAUUUACGGUAAUCUGGGCGCGAAUCUGCUUCGCUUGAUGAAACAUCGAAGGAGAAAGAGAAGGGUCUUUUUGUAGAAUCGGUGCAAUUUUGGAUACUAAAACCUCCAAGGUGAACGAAAAAUGGAAAGGGUGUUUUGAUUGGGCUGUAUGGAUAAAAUUGGACUUGCAAUUAAAAGCAGUAAUAACUUGUGAAAAAAUUCCUGGAACUGAAGGCAGAGAGAGACAUGAGUGAGGGCUGAGGCACCGUUGGUCAGAGGUGGAAGUCGGAGAGAGACGAGAGUGAGCUAAGGCGCCGAUGGUUGACGGUGGAAGGAGGAGAGAGAUGAGAGUGAGAGUUGAGGCGUCGAGGAAAAUCAUGGAGAGGCAGAGUCAAUGGGGAAAAGGAAAUGGGAGAAAUAUUGUAUUAUACGGCUUUGUAAUGAAUUUUUG